CUCCGACUCAGAGAGUUUGAUCAUGGCUCAGAUUGAACGCUGGCGGAAUGCUUUACACAUGCAAGUCGAACGGCAGCACGGGGCAACCUGGUGGCGAGUGGCGAACGGGUGAGUAAUACAUCGGAACGUGCCCAAUCGUGGGGGAUAACGUAGCGAAAGUUAUGCUAAUACCGCAUACGAUCUACGGAUGAAAGCGGGGGAUCGCAAGACCUCGCGCGAUUGGAGCGGCCGAUGUCAGAUUAGGUAGUUGGUGGGGUAAAGGCUCACCAAGCCGACGAUCUGUAGCUGGUCUGAGAGGACGACCAGCCACACUGGGACUGAGACACGGCCCAGACUCCUACGGGAGGCAGCAGUGGGGAAUUUUGGACAAUGGGCGCAAGCCUGAUCCAGCCAUUCCGCGUGCAGGAUGAAGGCCUUCGGGUUGUAAACUGCUUUUGUCCGGAAAGAAAAGCAUUCGGUUAAUACCCGGGUGUUCUGACGGUACCGGAAGAAUAAGCACCGGCUAACUUCGUG
rnacentral:rRNA from 1 species